rnacentral:rRNA from 1 species
UACGUAGGGUGCAAGCGUUGUCCGGAAUUAUUGGGCGUAAAGGGCUCGUAGGCGGUCUGUCACGUCGGGAGUGAAAACUCAGGGCUUAACCCUGAGCCUGCUUCCGAUACGGGCAGACUAGAGGUAGGUAGGGGAGAAUGGAAUUCCCGGUGUAGCGGUGAAAUGCGCAGAUAUCGGGAGGAACACCGGUGGCGAAGGCGGUUCUCUGGGCCGUUACCUGACGCUGAGGAGCGAAAGCGUGGGGAGCGAACAGG